rnacentral:lncRNA from 1 species
GCACGUUCUCUCCGACGCCCGUCUUCGUGUCUCCUCCCUCCCUCGCCUUCCUCCUUCCUAGCUCCUCUCCUCCAGGGCCAGACUGAGCCCAGGUUGAUUUCAGGCGGACACCAAUAGACUCCACAGCAGCUCCAGGAGCCCAGACACCGGCGGCCAGAAGCAAGGCUAGGAGCUGCUGCAGCCAUGUCGGCCCUCAGCCUCCUCAUUCUGGGCCUGCUCACGGCAGUGCCACCUGCCAGCUGUCAGCAAGGCCUGGGGAACCUUCAGCCCUGGAUGCAGGGCCUUAUCGCGGUGGCCGUGUUCCUGGUCCUCGUUGCAAUCGCCUUUGCAGUCAACCACUUCUGGUGCCAGGAGGAGCCAGCCAGGAUAGCGGCCCAGCCUGUGAUGGGGGCUGUAAGGACCUCUAGAAGGGAGCCUGCACACAUGAUCCUGACCGUCGGAAACAAGGCAGAUGGAGUCCUGGUGGGAACAGAUGGAAGGUACUCUUCGAUGGCGGCCAGUUUCAGGUCCAGUGAGCAUGAGAAUGCCUAUGAGAAUGUGCCCGAGGAGGAAGGCAAGGUCCGCAGCACCCCGAUGUAACCUUCUCUGUGGCUCCAACCCCAAGACUCCCAGGCACAUGGGAUGGAUGUCCAGUGCUACCACCCAAGCCCCCUCCUUCUUUGUGUGGAAUCUGCAAUAGUGGGCUGACUCCCUCCAGCCCCAUGCCGGCCCUACCCGCCCUUGAAGUAUAGCCAGCCAAGGUUGGAGCUCAGACCGUGUCUAGGUUGGGGCUCGGCUGUGGCCCUGGGGUCUCCUGCUCAGCUCAGAAGAGCCUUCUGGAGAGGACAGUCAGCUGAGCACCUCCCAUCCUGCUCACACGUCCUUCCCCAUAACUAUGGAAAUGGCCCUAAUUUCUGUGAAAUAAAGACUUUUUGUAUUUCUGGGGCUGAGGCUCAGCAACAGCCCCUCAGGCUUCC